UACGGGGGGGGCAAGCGUUGUUCGGAAUUACUGGGCGUAAAGGGCUCGUAGGCGGCCAACUAAGUCAGACGUGAAAUCCCUCGGCUUAACCGGGGAACUGCGUCUGAUACUGGAUGGCUUGAGUUCGGGAGAGGGAUGUGGAAUUCCAGGUGUAGCGGUGAAAUGCGUAGAUAUCUGGAGGAACACCGGUGGCGAAGGCGGCUUCCUGGACCGACACUGACGCUGAGGCGCGAAAGCUAGGGGAGCAAACGGG
rnacentral:rRNA from 1 species